AGAGUUUGAUCCUGGCUCAGAGCGAACGCUGGCGGCAGGCUUAACACAUGCAAGUCGAGCGGGCACCUUCGGGUGUCAGCGGCGGACGGGUGAGUAACGCGUGGGAACGUGCCCUCUGGUUCGGAAUAACUCAGGGAAACUUGAGCUAAUACCGGAUACGCCCUUUUGGGGAAAGGCUUGCUGCCGGAGGAUCGGCCCGCGUCUGAUUAGCUAGUUGGUGAGGUAACGGCUCACCAAGGCGACGAUCAGUAGCUGGUCUGAGAGGAUGAUCAGCCACACUGGGACUGAGACACGGCCCAGACUCCUACGGGAGGCAGCAGUGGGGAAUAUUGGACAAUGGGCGCAAGCCUGAUCCAGCCAUGCCGCGUGAGUGAUGAAGGCCUUAGGGUUGUAAAGCUCUUUUAUCCGGGACGAUAA
rnacentral:rRNA from 1 species